rnacentral:rRNA from 1 species
UAAAACUCAAAUGAAUUGACGGGGGCCCGCACAAGCGGUGGAGCAUGUGGUUUAAUUCGAUGCAACGCGAAGAACCUUACCUGGUCUUGACAUCCACAGAACUUUCCAGAGAUGGAUUGGUGCCUUCGGGAACUGUGAGACAGGUGCUGCAUGGCUGUCGUCAGCUCGUGUUGUGAAAUGUUGGGUUAAGUCCCGCAACGAGCGCAACCCUUAUCCUUUGUUGCCAGCGGUCCGGCCGGGAACUCAAAGGAGACUGCCAGUGAUAAACUGGAGGAAGGUGGGGAUGACGUCAAGUCAUCAUGGCCCUUACGACCAGGGCUACACACGUGCUACAAUGGCGCAUACAAAGAGAAGCGACCUCGCGAGAGCAAGCGGACCUCAUAAAGUGCGUCGUAGUCCGGAUUGGAGUCUGCAACUCGACUCCAUGAAGUCGGAAUCGCUAGUAAUCGUGGAUCAGAAUGCCACGGUGAAUACGUUCCCGGGCCUUGUACACACCGCCCGUCACACCAUGGGAGUGGGUUGCAAAAGAAGUAGGUAGCUUAACCUUCGGGAGGGCGCUUACCACUUUGUGAUUCAUGACUGGGGUGAAGUCGUAACAAGGUAACCGUAGGGGAACCUGCGGUUGGAUCACCUCCUUAC